rnacentral:rRNA from 1 species
AACGAACGCUGGCGGCAGGCUUAACACAUGCAAGUCGAGCGCCCCGCAAGGGGAGCGGCAGACGGGUGAGUAACGCGUGGGAACAUACCCUUUGGUUCGGAAUAACUCAGGGAAACUUGAGCUAAUACCGGAUACGUCCGUAAGGAGAAAGAUUUAUCGCCAAAGGAUUGGCCCGCGUCCGAUUAGCUAGUUGGUGAGGUAACGGCUCACCAAGGCUACGAUCGGUAGCUGGUCUGAGAGGAUGAUCAGCCACAUUGGGACUGAGACACGGCCCAAACUCCUACGGGAGGCAGCAGUGGGGAAUAUUGGACAAUGGGCGCAAGCCUGAUCCAGCCAUGCCGCGUGAGUGACGAAGGCCUUAGGGUUGUAAAGCUCUUUUGUCCGGGAAGAUAAUGACUGUACCGGAAGAAUAAAGCCCCGGGCUAAACUUCGCGCCAGCAGCCGCGGUAAU